rnacentral:lncRNA from 1 species
CAGGGCCAGACGGAGAUGGACAACCAGUCAUCCUAAAGGAGAUCAGUCCUGAGUGUUCAUUGGAAGGACUGAUGCUGAAACUCCAGUACUUUGGCCACCUGAUGCGAAGAGCUGACUCAUCGGAAAAGACCCUGAUGCUGGGAAAGAUUGAGGGCAGGAGGAGAAGGGGACAAUAGAGGAUGAGAUGGUUGGAUGGCAUCAUCGACUCAAUGGACAUGAGUUUUAAGUAAACUCCGGGAGUUGGUGAUGGACAUGGAUGGAGGCCGGACACGACUGAGCGGCUGAACUGAACUGAGCUGGACUGACCCGGGCCGGCAGGCGUCGGGGCGGGGGCCGCGAGUGCGCCGCUCUUCGAAGAUCCUCCGUGGCGUCUUUCCCUGGGUUUCCGCCGUAUCUGUGAGGGGAGCUUGCGAGAUGGUGCAGUCAGUGACGACCCCAGGGACUCACAAAGCAGCAUCUGUCUCGCUCUGGCAACGUGUCACUGCAAGUUGGCCCGAGGCCCCUGCUGCUGAAGCCACGUGGGGACCAAGGGCUGUGUAGAAGUGAACACAGGAUGUUCACAUCUGUGAAGGCAACAGAAACGUCAUUCCAAAUUGCAAUGGAGACAGAGAGCAUCCGGUCGGGCGGAUUCUUUACCAAGCUGAGUCACCAGGGAAGCCGGAAGAAGGACCAGCUGGUCUGUUUAUCAGUGACAGAAGACAGGAGGAGGAGAGAACCGUUUCUGAGUGAGGCAAUCAAAUCUGUCUUGGUCGCUUCAUGGCCGGAAGGCCCUUGGAUAGCAAGCCUGGAGUGUGGGAAAUGCUGUCUCCUCACAGGAUGGAUGCCGUCAGGUUUGUGUUGUGCUUUAAACCCUGUAAUGUUUGGUGAAAUGCGGCAGAUUUGGGCUCCUGAAGUUAGAACGCUGGAUCUCUCAGUCGUGUCCGACUCUUUGCAACCCCCCUGCACCGUAGGCCACCAGGCUCCCCCGUCCAUGGGACUCUCCCGGCAAGAAUACUGGAGUGGGUUGCCAUUUCCUCCUCCAGAGUUGGAAUUAGAAUGGAGAAAACUGAAACGUCCCUGGCGGUCCAGUGGGUUAAGACGUUGCCUUCCAGUGCAGGAGUGGCCGGUUCCGGUCUUGAUCAGGGAGCUAAGAUCACACUUGCCUUGCAGCUGAAAACAACAACAACAACACACAAAAAAAAACAAACCAAAGUAUAAAACAGAAGAAGUAUUGUAACAAAUUCAAUAAAGAAUUUUAAA